AGUGAACGCUGGCGGUAGGCCUAACACAUGCAAGUCGAACGGCAGCACAGUAAGAGCUUGCUCUUACGGGUGGCGAGUGGCGGACGGGUGAGGAAUACAUCGGAAUCUACUUUUUCGUGGGGGAUAACGUAGGGAAACUUACGCUAAUACCCCAAACGACCUACGGGUGAAAGCAGGGGAUCUUCGGACCUUGCUCGAUUGAAGGAGCCGAUGUCGGAUUAGCUAGUUGGCGGGGUAAAGGCCCACCAAGGCGACGAUCCGUAGCUGGUCUGAGAGGAUGAUCAGCCACACUGGAACUGAGACACGGUCCAGACUCCUACGGGAGGCAGCAGUGGGGAAUAUUGGACAAUGGGCGCAAGCCUGAUCCAGCCAUACCGCGUGGGUGAAGAAGGCCUUCGGGUUGUAAAGCCCUUUUGUUGGGAAAGAAAAGCAGCAGGUUAAUACCCCGCUGUUCUGACGGUACCCAAAGAAUAAGCACCGGCUAACUUCGUG
rnacentral:rRNA from 1 species